rnacentral:rRNA from 1 species
CCUACGGGGGGCAGCAGUGAGGAAUAUUGGUCAAUGGACGAGAGUCUGAACCAGCCAAGUAGCGUGAAGGAUGACUGCCCUAUGGGUUGUAAACUUCUUUUAUAUGGGAAUAAAAUGUUCCACGUGUGGGAUUUUGUAUGUACCAUAUGAAUAAGGAUCGGCGAACUCCGUGCCAGCAGCCGCGGUAAUACGGAGGAUCCGAGCGUUAUCCGGAUUUAUUGGGUGUAAAGGGAGCGUAGGUGGAUUGUUAAGUCAGUUGUGAAAGUUUGCGGCUCAACCGUAAAAUUGCAGUUGAAACUGGCAGUCUUGAGUACAGUAGAGGUGGGCGGAAUUCGUGGUGUAGCGGUGAAAUGCUUAGAUAUCACGAAGAACUCCGAUUGCGAAGGCAGUUCACUGGACUGCAACUGACACUGAGGCUCGAAAGUGUGGGUAUCAAACAGGAUUAGAUACCCCUGUAGUC